rnacentral:rRNA from 1 species
UACCCGCGGUUAAUGGAAAGCCACAAGGGCCACAAGGCUCGGGCCAAGUCCUUGGAAAAGGGCAGCAGAGAGGGUGAGACUCCCGUGGCCUGAGCCAGUGAGCGAGCAUGUUGGAGUCGAGUUGUUUGGGAUUGCAG